rnacentral:rRNA from 1 species
CCUACGGGAGGCAGCAGUGGGGGAUAUUGCACAAUGGGGGAAACCCUGAUGCAGCGACGCCGCGUGUGGGAAGACGGUCCUAUGGAUUGUAAACCACUGUCCCCAGGGACGAAGAUGACGGUACCUGGGGAGGAAGCUCCGGCUAACUACGUGCCAGCAGCCGCGGUAAUACGGAGGGAGCGAGCGUUGUCCGGAAUUACUGGUUGUAAGGGGAGCGUAGGCGGGACUGCAAGUUGGGUGGCAAAUCUACCGGCUCAACCGGUAGCCGCACUCCAAACUGCAGUUCUUGAGUGAAGUAGAGGCAGGCGGAAUUCCUAGUGUAGCGGUGAAAUGCGUAGAUAUUAGGAGGAACACCAGUGGCGAAGGCGGCCUGCUGGGCUUUUUCUGACGCUGAGGCUCGAAAGUGUGGGGAGCAAACAGGAUUAGAUACCCUUGUAGUC